AUUGAACGCUGGCGGCAUGCCUUACACAUGCAAGUCGAACGGCAGCACGGGUGCUUGCACCUGGUGGCGAGUGGCGAACGGGUGAGUAAUACAUCGGAACAUGUCCUGUAGUGGGGGAUAGCCCGGCGAAAGCCGGAUUAAUACCGCAUACGAUCUACGGAUGAAAGCGGGGGACCUUCGGGCCUCGCGCUAUAGGGUUGGCCGAUGGCUGAUUAGCUAGUUGGUGGGGUAAAGGCCUACCAAGGCGACGAUCAGUAGCUGGUCUGAGAGGACGACCAGCCACACUGGGACUGAGACACGGCCCAGACUCCUACGGGAGGCAGCAGUGGGGAAUUUUGGACAAUGGGCGAAAGCCUGAUCCAGCAAUGCCGCGUGUGUGAAGAAGGCCUUCGGGUUGUAAAGCACUUUUGUCCGGAAAGAAAUCCUUGGCCCUAAUACGGUCGGGGGAUGACGGUGCCGGAAGAAUAAGCACCGGCUAACUACGUG
rnacentral:rRNA from 1 species